GCCGGAGUGGCGAAAUUGGUAUACGCACUGGACUCAAAAUCCAGCGGUCGCAAGGCCAUGAGAGUUCGAGUCUCUCCUCCGGCA
rnacentral:tRNA from 3 species